rnacentral:lncRNA from 1 species
UGAUGAUUCUCUAUCAUGUUCCUCGUACACUGCACCAGCACCACUGCUUCCCUUCCCAGUGAGAACCCGAUCAAGCUUUAUCAUGCAGCCCAGAAGGGUGGGGGAAAGAAAAAGAAUUAGGAGAAAAUGUUGUAAAAGUAAUGAGAUAAUAUGAGAAUGUGCUUUGGGAACUGCGAAUCUGGAGUCACUGGUCCAUGAGGAAUCUAGGAUAAGAAGAAGGAAGCUGUGAAGAAUGGUUGGCUAACAGUGCUGGCAAGGAAUUCAGAUCAACAUACCUCUCAAAAGAAUGGAAGUCUCUUAAACUCAGACAGAAUAAAGGAGGCACAGAGAAGUUAUACAAAUUGUCCUGGCACAAAAAACUGAUAAGACUUAAGCCCAGGAGUACUGGCCCAAGAAGAUAUUAGACUAUGGAAAUGAUGUUGGAGAAAAAGCAAAUUUGAGCGAUUUUCUUAUUUGAGUUCAAAAUGGGUCUUAAAGCAGUGGGGACAACUGGCAACAUAACAAUGCAUUUGGCCUGGGAACUGCUAACCAACUCUUAGUUCAAUGGCGGUUCAAGAAGUUUUGCAAAGGAGACAAUAGCCUUGAAGAUAAGGAGCAUAGUGGCCGGCCAUCAGAAGUUGACAACGACCAAUUGAGAGCAAUAUUUGAAGCUGAUCCUCUUACAACUACACGAGAAGUUGCCAAAGAACUCAGUGUCGACCUUCCUAUGGUUGUUCGGCAUUUGAAGCAAAUUGGAAAGGUGAGAAAGCUCCAUACAUGGGUGCUGCAUGAGCUGAG